rnacentral:tRNA from 1 species
ACGGGCAUAGCUCAACUGGUAGAGUGACGGUCUCCAAAACCGUAGGUUGCGGGUUCGAUUCCUGCUGCCCGUG